CCCCUCCCCCCACUAACACUUAACAAUUGCCCCAGUCUCCAGGUGGGGGGAGGGGGAGGUCCUAAAGAUAAUCCCACACAAGUGAAAAGCAUCUGGUUAUCUACCACCUCCUUUCCCAUCCUUCUUUGCUCCUGCAGUCCACUCCUGAGAGGUCAGUGUUGCCAGCCGCCCCACUUUCCAGAGGAGAAAUGGGCUCCAGAGGCCAGGUGACUUGCCCAAGGUCACUCACCCCCCUGGCUCCCAAGCGCAGCCAGGAGCCCUCUCUGCAGACUCACGCCUCCCAGUGCCCUGUUUUCCACUUCUCUGCUCUGCAGCCCUCCGGUUGGAAUGCGCACAGUCUCACCUGCCUCCUGGGAUUCAGCCCCUCUGGUUGUUGGAGGAACCCUGGAGACGAUGGGCGUCCAUCUGCCGUCAAGCAGGAAGAUAUGAAACAGAAAACAAGGAUGGUACCUUCCUCUCAUGGUGCGGUGAGGAUUACUGGACGCGGAUGCUGUAUGGAGAGGUCUACACUUUCGAACGCACUCUUUCCCAUCCAUCAUUUCAUUGGAGCCUCGCUUCAGCACCUCAGGAUGAACAGGACUGAGAGUUUGAUCCACAUUUGACAAACGGGGACACAAGAGCUCAAGCGGCGUUGGUCUCAGGGAAGCAAUCUGCUCAAAUGUCACACAGCCGGUGAGAUUCCGGGAUGGACACGAAGCCAGGCAUCUCAACUCCCGUCUCUUUUCAGAUCAGCCGCUUAGGUAUUCAUCCACUCAACAGACAGUCCCUGAGCUAAGCUGCAGCAAUAAGGCGGUAAAUGGGCAGACACGACUUCCGCCCUCGAGGAACUUGGAGCCUGGUGGCUCAGGACACAGAGACCUUUUCCGAGGCUGCACCAAUCACAGGGAAGACCCAGUUCUGCUCAGAGACGCAGAUCGGGAUGCACCCUGGGUUCAGAGUCAUGGCUUUGUGUGCCCACCUUGGGCAGUGAGCAGGCCAGGAAUAGAAGACUUCUCUGCCCUCAGGGAUGAAAUCCACUCGUUAAUCAGCCCAGAUACUGGGAAUUCCCUGGUGGUCCUGCUUCCAGGGCAGGUUCGAUCCUUGGUCGGGGAACUAAGCUCCUGCAAGCUGUGCAGCACGGCCAAAAAUAAAUACAUAAAUAAAAGUCCAGAGAUUUGCACCAGGAUCCCAGCCUGAACAAGAGUCCUAAAAUAAAGGUUUCCAUAGCCAGAUGCGUUCAGAAAAGCUACACAUCUCCCACCCUCUCUGAGAGUCACACUGCUUUGGCACACCCUGGAAAGUCCUGCAGAAAAGAACCCUGUUUAACACGAUGCUUCCCAAACGUGCUUAACCACGUGAACAGUUUUUUUUUUCAAGCCACGCCUACUAACUUGGGAAUUAGGAACAGGGCAGCGGAAAGAGCACAGUGUCUAGAGCCAGUUACUUGGGUUUGAAGCCAAGCCUUAGAUGCGAUUAGCAC